GGGACUUACCUGGGAAGUGGUUGAAAGGUAAUGCCUUGAAGCAAAUCCCCUUGACCUCCUCCUAAGGGUCCACCACAGAAAAGAGGUGGGUUUUUUAGGACUUGCUCACAGCCAUUGUGUAGCAGCUUAACCCCUUUCUCUUAUCUGGCUGAUGAGAAUUCUGUUCUCUAUAUGGAGGACAGUUGGGAAAUGCUUUUCUAUUCUGCAUGUGCUAACCCUGUUUUCACUCUUAUCUCUGCUGUUCUACACUUGAUGUUUGUAAUGGGAUGCUCCCUCUGGCAUACAUUCAUCCUGCUGCUUAUACUCUGCUUCUGAUCUGGACAACUGAUCAGGGAGUGUUCAGCUAAUAGUGCUAACAGAUGGAAUGGAAUGGACUGAUGUUCACCUUCUCUGACCUUUUGUGUGAUCUUCCUUUGAAGGCAACCAGGUGGCCCUCCAACACUUGCCAAGGAUGAUUCUCUUCCACACCAGCUUCACUGAGGCCUAGAAGAGCAACAACCAGUUGAAAUCUAGAUGUUCUUCUGUAACAAGAGUAGAGAAUAUAUGGCUUUCCAGGUGUUGAAGCAUAACACUCAUCCAACACUCUAGGCAUGGCAGCCAAUGAUGAAAUUUAAUCGGAGUUCAAGAAAAAUUGGACUGCUGUCCAACAUACAGUUGUGUUUUGUAGGGAUGCCGCUUUCUGGGCUCCUAUGGUUUUUCAGAAGGCAUGGCAGAAGGCAAAGUAACAGUUUUAGCAAUACCUGGUAUGCAUGUGGAGCACUUUCUGUUGUUAUACAUUUUUCUCAGGCCAAGGGGCCCUGCAAGAACAAAAUGGUUGGUAUGCCAGUUCUUUGGCAUUGUGCCCAGAUUGCGCUCCAUCCGUUAUAUUAUUCUAUAAAAGAAACUUCAACUAUU